UUCCCAGCGGCAAGCUUUCUCUAAAGAACCUGGAGCAAUUUCUUUCUUUUUUUUUUUUUUUUUAAAUCAGGAAUCAUGUCUGAAAGCUGCCACAACCAGUUGUAUAGGCAUGUCAAAAUGACUUUAUACAGUCAAUAUGAAACAAGCAUUAAAUAUUUUUUCUCAUGUUGUUGCUUUUAUCAUUAUGAAUUCCUUGCUUGUUGCCACCUAAGAUACGAUGGAGCAAGCACAGUCUUAAAGAAGAUUUGCUGAUUUUUUGUUUUUCUCAGCAGACCAGAGACAUCCAUAAAAAUUCAUCAGAGAGCAUUUUACUACUGAGCUGCAAAGGGAAAAACUUAAAAUGGAUAUGAAAAGUGAAGAAAGUGAUCAUAGGAGAAAACCAUUUCAGAUGACAAGAGCACCUCAAAGGCAGCAGCCUCAAGGAGCAGCCAUGGCCCCAGACUUGUCGCACGGAUGCAGAAAACUUAAUGGAGGAGGCUGAGGUCAGAAUGGGAAGAGUUUUUAAAAAAUAAAAAGGGGAGCUAAUAUGUGAGGAACUGAUUGCUGUGCAUUAUUUUCCACUGAACAGACCUUCUUUUAACUUCUAAUCUCAAGCACAUAGCAGCUGUUGUUUUCAUAUUAAAGAUCAGUAAGUGUUUGUUGAAUGAAUGUAUAAAUUCUUCCCCAAUCUCUGUUCCAUGUAAUAAGAACUAAGUUAGCAUUCAAUUAUAAAGAGGACUUAGAAAGUCUGCAGACAUUUUUGAUCAAAAAUCCUUUUAACUGUCUUCUUAUGGUUCCCGGUAACACCUAAGCCCAAAAAACUCAGGUCAUUUCUUGCCUGUACUGUUGCAAUAGCCUCAUAAUAACUAGUCUUCUCCUUUAUCAACCACAGUCGUCUCCGCUACACAAAGAAGAGAGGGUGCUAAUCUAAAGUGUAAAUUAUUUUAAAUCAGCACCCUUCUUGUAAUUUCCCAGUGGUUUUUCCUGUCAUAAGAAUAACAUGCAAAAUUCCUUGCUUGCAAAGCCAGGUAUGACCUUGCCCCGUCUACCUUACUGGCAUCGUCUCUCAUGACUCUUCCCCUUUUUCACUCUCCAUCUUGCCUUUUCCCAACCAUGCCUGCUAGUGAGCCUUAGCCCUUGUGUUUUCUCUGCCAGGGAUGCAUGACUGGCUUCUUUACUUUAUUCUGAUCUCUCUGCUCAAAUGUCAUCUUUUUAGAGAUAGCUUUCCUAAACAUCUUUAAAAGUACCCCAUGAACUGUGAAACACCUUUCCUGCUUUUUCUUCAUAGUACUUAUCACUUCCUGAUAUUAUGUUAGACAACAAGCAAAUAAGUAUAUGCUGUUCCCACUAAAAUAUAAGCUCCAUUUGAACAGGAGCCUUGAUUAUUCCUGAGUAUACCCCUAGUGCCCAGAACCUAGUAGGGCUUUAAUAAAUAUUAGAUUCAUUUGUUGAAUGAAAAAAUGAAUGAAUAAUUGAAUAAAGAUAUCCAGGUAGAGUGUCCGGGCAGCCCAACCUAUGUGAAGCCAGUACAAGAAUGUUUCUGUGACAUAGUGAGCGCAAUUAUUCCUCUAAAUGAUGAACUUGCAUGAGUACACAAGGAUAAAAUUAAGCACGUAGUUUAGAUUUCUGCAAGUCUCUUCCUCAGAUUGAGGAAAAACAAAGAAAUUGAGCUUAUUCUCACCUCAUUCUUACAUGAACUAAAUCCAGAAUAAAGCAUCAUUUAAAUACCAAGCACAUCCCUACCUCAGCCACUCAUGGAAUACUUUAUCUGUAAAGGGACAGAUAGAUAGUAAAUAUUUUUGGCUUUGGGGACCGUACAGUCUGUGUCGCCACUACUCAGCACUUCUGUUGAGGUGUGGAAUCAGCCCUAGACAACACAUAAACAAAUGGGUGUGGCUGUGUUCCAAUAAAAUGUUAUUUAUAAAACUAGGAAAUCAGCAGAUUUAGUCCACAGGCUGUAGUUUGCUGACCCUUGAAUUAGAGAGUCUUCCCCAAAUCCUCUUCCCAAGUUAUUGAAAGAAUGCCCAUAGGACCAUAGCUCCCUCACCUGGUUCUUUCAAGAAAUGAGACAAAUUCAGGGAUGGUUGGAGGGUGGAACGCCUACCUGUGACAUGACUAUUGAGCCUGAUUUCUUUCCUUUUAUCUCUUUAAAGUGAGUCAGGUCUUAACUUUAAACUGUCUCUAAAGUGGCAAUAACUGGGCCAUGUCAAAUACUCCCAAUGACAAAAUUUCUUCUUGGAGAAUGAAUGAGGGUUGCAUACAGUGGUGUGUUGGUAAAUGUUUAGCAACUGGCUCUCUUACUGAUUUCUGUAGUGUAAAUUCUCCCAUCCUGGCCAUCUGAAACUACCAAUAUGAUGUCACUUGAUGUAGAGUUGGGAAAAGACAGUCUCUUGAAUAAGUAUGAGCUGGUUCCAGCCCACUGCUGAACACAUAUUUAAAAGCUACAAUAGCUCUGCUCACUGCCAUUGCAGAGUCUGGAGGAAAGAGUAGCAGGCUUGAUAGGAGCAAUUGGCUGAAUAAUCUUUUGCAAUGCCAAUAAAUAAUGAAAAAGUAUAUAAAUAUAACGCUGUAUAGAAAGCUCUCAAGUUCAGUGUUUGGUUAAAAUACAUACUCAGUAAAUGGUAGCUAUUAUUGUCUUAGUUUAAGUUAUUGCAAGCAUUAAAAUUAAAUGUUUAGCUACAGACUCAAUCCAGUUUUAAUGUCAUUGUGUUAAUAAGGCCUCUUAACAUUGAAGCAACAAAGAUAAAGGAAUUUUUUUGUAGCUAUUCACGAUUCUGCCCAGCUCAAGGUAAAGAUAGCAACAAAAUACUCCAACCAGAAUAAAAGAAGUCUCCACUUGACUGCAGCUCUUCGCAACACUUCACAAGGGUCAAGCUGUGUUAGUUUCCUUCAGUGUUAAACAGAAUGCAUCUUAAGAGAAUAGUUCAAUUAUUGAUUGAAUAGUAGGUUCAAGUUGACUAUAAUCCCAACUAAUACACUCUAAGACCAGGGAUGGGCCGACAGAAGGGUAAAGUUUUCCACUCAAGUCUCGAGGCAAACACUCAGAUAGAAGUAGUAAUAUGGAUGCCUUCUAUUAUUUGGUCACAUACAAUACUGUUCCAGCCCAGUUGUGCAAAACUGGUGAAAUAAAAGGCAAAAAUAUUGACAACAGUUUGGGUAACUGGAUUCCAAAAUGGGCAUCCAUCUAAGAGAAAUUAAUGAAAAAAAAGCAUAUGGACCUUGAAAUACAUUAAUACACAGUUUAGGUUUAAACACUCAGUUUUUAUUAGAAAAGACUAACUUAUCCUGUUUUGAACACUACAAAAGUGCUUUCUGAACCAUUUACUCUCAAACCUCCUCCACCCAUUCCCCUCCAUCUAUAACGCUUUCUGCACAUCUGUAAAAGGUAUGACUUAGUGUUUGGUCUGUGAAAUAAGGUUAAAAAGGAAGCAUUUCUUUUUACAUUCUAGCUAAUGUUGAUAUUUUUCUCAUGCUUCUAUUAGCACAUAAUUCAGAUACAUUAGUUUUGAAGUUUUGAAUCUUCUCUGCUUCUUGAGGGCUCUCUGUUCUAGAUCAACAUGAUCUGUGGAACACCAGCCAAGUCCUGGGCAGAACCCUCCCCGUUGUCCAAAUAUUACUGAAUCAGUUGAGUUUUCUCUGUUGUCAAUGAAUUAUUCCACAUGUUUCUUUGGCUACAUUUUUUUUGGCUUUCUGUUCACAGUAAAUAUAGCCUUUGUUUUUAAAAACUUCUAUUAUGAAAAUUCCAAAUAUAUGCAAAUUAGAGAGAAUAGCAUAAUGAACCUCUAUGUGCUUAUCACACAUAUAGGUUCAACUAAUUAAAUUAUAUCAAUUUAUGGCCAAUCUGGUUUCAUUUAUAACAUCAUUCGCUCAUUCCUAACUCCCUGGAUUAUUUGAUUGACAUGUUUCUAAAGUUCCUUUUAAUCUGUAGGUUCCCCCUCUCAUUUAAUCUUUUGCAACUUAUUCAUUGAUGAAACUGGGUUAUUUGUCCUUUAUUGUUUCUCUCAUUCUGAAAUAUGCUGUAAUGUCAUUAACCAUAUUCUUCUUUCCUGUAUUUUCUGUAAGCUUUGAGCUAGGCAGAAAUAUUUUAAUCAGAUUCCUUUUUUUUUCUUUUAGCAAGAUUUCUUCAUAAAUAAUAUUGUAUGUGUUCAUGAAAAUAGAAAUAAAAAUAGAAAUAAAGAAGAAAUAACAGAAAA
rnacentral:lncRNA from 1 species